UACGUAGGGGCCGAGCGUUGUCCGGAGUUAUUGGGCGUAAAGCGCGCGCAGGCGGCUUGACGCGCCCGACGUGAAAGCCCCCCGGCUUAACCGGGGAGGGUCGUCGGGUACGGUCAGGCUUGAGGGCGGGAGAGGGUGGUGGAAUUCCCGGUGUAGUGGUGAAAUGCGUGGAGAUCGGGAGGAACACCUGUGGCGAAGGCGGCCACCUGGGGCCGACCCUGACGCUGAGGCGCGAAGGCGUGGAGAGCGAACGGG
rnacentral:rRNA from 1 species